UUUGCCACUGACAGAGACCACGGUGCAUUUUCACUAUACAUUUUAUAGGCUUAGCAGCUUUAAAUAAAACGAGCUCGACAGAAAACAAUGGCGCGCAUUCUAGUUGCCCUCCUGAUAGGCCUGAUGGUCAUCGUCUGCCUCGUAGCCUCUGCCAGCGAACAAGUAGGCAAGGAGCUGGAGAAAACCCGGGACAAAGGGAAGGACAUCAUUGAUCAAAUAAUGUCAAUUCUGUCAAUGACUCUGUCCAUGUGUCUGUUGCCAUUCUUCGACUGCGAUAGCCUGGAAGGCUUCCUCCAAGUUUUGAAGAUCAACUUGUGAUCAUCUAGCUUUGUGACCAGCGGUGGACAUAAUGUUAUCACACUGACACAUACUCGAGACAGGUCCGAUUAGUAAAAAUGUCAAUAAAGUUUUGGUUUUGAGA